CCUACGGGAGGCAGCAGUGGGGAAUAUUGCGCAAUGGGCGAAAGCCUGACGCAGCGACGCCGCGUGAGGGAUGAAGGUCUUCGGAUCGUAAACCUCUGUCAGCAGGGAAGAACGGUCACUGUGCUAAUCAGCAGUGAAUUGACGGUACCUGCAAAGGAAGCACCGGCUAACUCCGUGCCAGCAGCCGCGGUAAUACGGAGGUUGCGAGCGUUAUUCGGAAUUACUGGGCGUAAAGCGCUCGUAGGCGGUAUGUCAAGUCAAGGGUGAAAUCCCCGCGCUCAACGUGGGAACUGCCUUUGAAACGGGCAAACUGGAGUGUGUGAGAGGAUAGUGGAAUUCCAGGUGUAGGAGUGAAAUGCGUAGAUAUCUGGAGGAACAUCAGUGGCGAAGGCGACUAUCUGGCACAUAACUGACGCUGAGGAGCGAAAGCGUGGGUAGCAAACAGGAUUAGAUACCCCUGUAGUC
rnacentral:rRNA from 1 species